rnacentral:rRNA from 1 species
UACGGAGGGUGCAAGCGUUAUCCGGAUUCACUGGGUUUAAAGGGUGCGUAGGAGGGCAGGUAAGUCAGUGGUGAAAUCUUCGAGCUUAACUCGGAACUGCCGUUGAUACUAUCUGUCUUGAAUACCGUGGAGUGAGCGGAAUAUGUCAUGUAGCGGUGAAAUGCUUAGAUAUGACAUAGAACACCAAUUGCGAAGGCAGCUCACUACGGAUAUAUUGACACUGAGGCACGAAAGCGUGGGGAUCAAACAGG